rnacentral:lncRNA from 1 species
UGGCCAACCUCUCAAGCUUUUGGGUUUGCAUUGUGCAUUUUGUCCAUAUACAUACACUAGCUUAGAACCAGUGCAAUGCAUGACAUAUAAUUAUUUUUUCAAAUAAUAUUUUUAUAAAUUAAAAAUCUAACAUAAUAUAAAAAUAUCAUAGAUGAUAUUAGAUAUUUUAAAUAAAAAUAUAAACUCAGAUUAUUUAAAUAACAUGAUAGUAAAAAGUAACAUAAUCUUUUCUAUCUUUUGUUGAUAGAGAAAUCAUUCUUUGAAUCAACAUUUUCAGCAUCAAUUGUUUCGAAAUCCUCAUCAUUAAACAAGAUACGAUCA